ensembl:lncRNA
CAUGUCAUUAUCAUUUCUCAAUUAAGCUGCACAAAAAAAAAAAAAAAAAAAAAAACAUUUAAAUAAGCGAUUUUAUUUGGUUCAAGCUUGACCACAUUGUGCAUCAACAAUAGUAAAGUCUGCUGAAGAAAAGAAAACGGUAAGAAUUUAUUUAUUUAUGUGUAAAAUGUUGUCAGUUUCCUAAAUCCUAUAUGUACUAAUUCUAUGUCCUAUCUUAAAAUUUUUAUAGAUAUGGCAAGUACUUCAAAUGCCAAUGCCAACAAGUCGGUAACCAGCUAUGUUCACAACAUCACACCUUUACGACAUGGGGUGAAACGACAAUACUUCGAAGGAGUCUUACAACAACGCCACAAAGUGUGUAAACUUAUGGUGUUCAAGGUGGAGCUCCAUUCUAAGUUUCUCAAUCUUGAGAGAGACCGAUGCCCUGUCCAACUUAAUAAUGUGGUUGUCCAGCCGUCAAGAAGAGAAGGUGAAAUGGACAUAAUGUUCACACACCAGUCCAAAUGGUGUUGCUUGAGUGCCAUAGAUUACCCCUACAACCCCACCAUAAUGGCAACCGUUCAAGACCAAACAAUUAGCCAGAUUCUGGAAAUGGAUACGGAAUACCACAGAGUUAAUAUCGCCGUCAAAAUCAUCCAGAUGGAAAGUGAAGGUCAUGCCUUUCUCCAGGAUGCUGUCUUGCUGGGAAAAAAACGUCUUCACCAUAGCGGACACCACGGGCAUCAUGGAGCUUACUGUCUGGGGAGUAGAACGCAACCUCCAGCUGGACUCCUGGUUUUACAUCACCAAUGUGUCAUUACGGGUGUUCAGAGGUACAAAAUUCCUGUCAACGACAAGACACAAAAUUUACAGCCACCACAUGCACUGACCCCACAUUUCCACUACAGCCCACCACAUCUGAACAUGUAACUGGAAACAUCAUUGGCGCCAAAGUCGGCAUCAUUUACAUUUGUCCACUUAAGCACAAACUAAAUCACAUGGCACUUUCCUGCACCAGAGUCCUCUGUGACAAAUGCAAUAUUUUACAGAGCCAACACCAUUACACUACACACACAUGCUAAACUUAAAAUAAGAACAACAACCUCUGAUGACAUCAAAUCCGUUAACGUCGAAAACCACGUUCUCAGAUCCACAAUUCAAAUUUCCAAAACCGCCACAACAGACACCAUAAUGGACUCUCUUUUAGACCUCCCCACAAUGAAUAUGACCAUACACAACCACUACAUCACUCACCUGGCAUAUCUGGAACAAUCACAUACAGACAAUCCUCCCUGAUUUAAAUUGACUCUAAGUAUUGAAGAUUCAAGAUGUUGUAUGCAUUUUCAGCUUUUAUUUUCAGUCUUUGACUAUGGGGACCUGUGUUAUUUCUGACUACUGUGAAUAAAGA